rnacentral:rRNA from 1 species
CAAUAGCGGAGGAAAAGAAACUAACAAGGAUUCCCCUAGUAACUGCGAGUGAAGCGGGAAAAGCUCAAAUUUGAAAUCUGGCGGUCCUUGGCCGUCCGAGUUGUAAUUUAGAGAAGUGUUACCCGUGCUGGACCGUAUACAAGUCCUCUGGAAUGGGGCGUCAUAGAGGGUGAGAAUCCCGUCUUUGAUACGGACUACCAGUGCAUUGUGGUGCGCUCUCAAAGAGUCGAGUUGUUUGGGAAUGCAGCUCAAAAUGGGUGGUAAAUUCCAUCUAAAGCUAAAUACAGGCGAGAGACCGAUAGCGAACAAGUACCGUGAGGGAAAGAUGAAAAGAACUUUGGAAAGAGAGUUAAACAGUACGUGAAAUUGCUGAAAGGGAAACGCUUGAAGUCAGUCGCGUUGGCUUGGAAUCAACCUUGCUUGCUUGGUGUACUUCCUUGUCGACGGGUCAGCAUCAGUUUCGACCGCUGGAUAAAGGUCAUUGGAAUGUGGCACCCUCGGGUGUGUUAUAGCCUUUGAUCAUAUACAGCGGUUGGGACUGAGGAACUCAGCACGCCGCAAGGCCGGGUUUUUAACCACGUACGUGCUUAGGAUGCUGGCAUAAUGGCUUUAAUCGACCCGUCU